UUGUCCCAGAGCAGCAUCUCCAGCACCAUCAUCUGCUUCAGCUCCACCAGCACCUCAGCAGACUUACAGAGCAGCACCGAGUUACCGCCAGGAGGAUAGGUCGUCCAUGCCGCGACAGGGUGAGCGUCGACAGCAGGCUCCGAGUGGUAGAGUCUAUGCAGCUCAGGUGGAGGACUCUACAGCAGCCGACCGAGUGGUGGCAGGUAUCACUUUGAUUUCUGGCAUUAGAGUUCGCACUCUUUUUGAUACUGGUGCAUCACAUUCCUUUGUUAGCCGAGCAUUUGCAUUGUUGCAUGGUCUAGAGUUAGGGGCAUUGUCACAGGCACGAGAGGUGCAGAUCCCGGACCAUAUUUUACAGGUUGCGGAGUGUUGUUGGUCGUGUCCGGUGCAGUUGGACUCGUGGGUCAUGCCCGCAGACCUGUUGGUGUUAGGGCAGCUGCAGGACUUCGACGUCGUGCUCGGUAAGGAUUGGCUUGCACGGUACUAUGCUACGAUCGACUGUGGAGCGAGGACGGUGACGUUCCGCGAGCCAGGUCAGGAGGAGUUUACUUUCAGAGGCUGCAGGAGUACGCUAUUUGCCACCUGGAUAUCUUCGGCGAGGGCUCGACAGAUGCUGAGUAGCGGGUGUAUCGCUUUCCUAGCGACUGUUGUGGAGGUACCUACGGCGGCGCCGGGACUUGAGGACAUCCCAGUAGUCCGCGAGUUUCCGGACGUAUUUCUCCCUGAGUUGACAACGUUGCCGCCGGAAAGGGAGAUUGAGUUUGUGAUUGAUGUAGUUCCUGGAACUGCACCAAUCUCAAAGGUACCUUAUCGGAUGGCGCCGGCAGAGCUGAGAGAGCUAAAGGCACAGCUUCAGGAUUUGAUAGAUAAAGGGUUUGUGAGACCCAGUGUGUCGCCUUGGGGAGCGCCAGUGCUAUUUGUAAAGAAGAAAGAUGGUUCGCUCAGGUUAUGUGUAGAUUACCGGGAGCUGAAUAAAGUGACCAUCAAAAAUAAGUAUCCCUUGCCGCGCAUUGAUGAUUUGUUUGAUCAGCUGCAGGGAUCUUAUGUCUUCUCGAAGAUUGAUCUCCAGUCAGGUUACCACCAGCUGAGGGUGAGGGCCGAGGAUGUUCCCAAGACCGCUUUUCGGACUCGGUACGGGCAUUAUGAAUUUACAGUGAUGCCUUUUGGAUUGACAAAUGCCCCUGCCGCAUUCAUGGAUUUGAUGAACAGAGUGUUCAAGCCGUUCUUGGAUAGAUUUGUGGUAGUCUUCAUCGACGACAUCCUGAUAUACUCCCGGAGUGAUGCUGAGCAUGAGGAGCACUUGAGGAUUGUGCUACAGCUUCUGCGAGAGAAGAAGCUGUAUGCCAAGUUGAAGAAGUGCGAGUUCUGGCUACGGGAGGUUGCUUUCUUGGGCCACGUGAUUUCAGCCGAGGGCGUAGCAGUGGACCCGAAGAAGAUUGAGGCGAUUCGAGAUUGGCCUAGACCGACGACGGUGAUUGAGGUACGGAGCUUCCUGGGACUGGCAGGAUAUUACCGUCGGUUUGUGGAAGGCUUUGCGAAGCUUUCCACACUCCUCACACGCUUGACGCGGAAGGAGAUUCGUUUUGUUUGGAGCGAUGACUGUCAGAGGAGCUUUGACGAGUUGAGACUGAGGUUGACAUCAGCUCCUAUCCUUGCCCUUCCGGUGAUGGGGGAUAGAUUUGUGAUCUACAGUGAUGCAUCGCACAGUGGACUUGGUUGCGUGCUGAUGCAGCAUGGUAGGGUGAUUGCUUAUGCUUCACGGCAAUUAAAGGAUUUUGAGAAGAAUUACCCUACGCAUGACUUGGAGCUUGCCGCGGUGGUUUCUGCUUUGAAGCUCUGGCGGCAUUACUUGUACGGCGAGCACUGCGAGGUCUUCACCGAUCAUCAAAGUCUCAAGUAUCUGUUCACACAAAGGGAGCUGAAUCUGAGGCAGCGCCGGUGGUUAGAGUUACUGAAGGACUAUGACAUUAGUAUUCAGUAUCAUCCCGGCAGGGCGAAUGUUGUGGCAGAUGCGUUGAGCAGGAAGUCAAUGCAGAGCCUGAGUUUGAUGAUUACUGAGCAGAGACCCCUCCUCGAGGAGCUUCAGCGGCUGGGACUCGAGAUAGUACCCCCUGGGUCUACGGCGAGGCUGACGUCUCUAGUUUUACAGCCGACUCUGUUAGAUAGGAUCCGAGAGAAACAGAGUGGAGAUCCGUACUUGUUGAGGAUUAGAGAGCAGCUAGACAGGGGGCAGGCUGAGGGUUUUGCUUUGGACAGUUCGGGAGUACUACGGUACAGGGACCGACUGUGUGUGCCUAUGGAUUCUGAGAUCCGAUCAGACAUUCUGAGAGAGGCUCAUUGUUCUCCUUAUACGGUUCACCCAGAUGGAACCAAGAUGUAUAAGGACUUAAAGGCACGGUUUUGGUGGAAUGGUAUGAAGAGGGACAUUGGCAGAUUUGUGGCUCAGUGUCUGACUUGUCAACAGGUAUAGGCAGAGCAUCAGGUACCUGCUGGCAAGCUUCAGAGUCUGCCAGUGCCCGAGUGGAAGUGGGAGUACAUCACGGUGGAUUUCGUCGUUGGUUUGCCUAGAGCGCAGGGUGGCUUUGACGCGAUUUGGGUUAUAGUGGACAGACUGACCAAGUCUGCUCACUUCCUAGUAGUUCAGACUACCUGGUCCAGAGAGAGACUCGCUCAGUUAUACCUGGACGAGAUUGUUAGGUUGCACGGUGUGCCAAUGUCGAUUGUGUCAGACAGAGAUCCGAGGUUUGUAUCCCAGUUUUGGAGGAGCCUUCAGACCGCCUUGGGCACUCAGCUGCAUUUUAGCACGGCGUUCCACCCACAGACAGAUGGUCAGUCAGAGCGGACCAUACAGACUUUAGAGGACAUGCUGAGGGCAUGCGUCCUGGAUUUUGGAGGAGGGUGGUAUCGACAUGUGAGACUGGUUGAGUUUGCGUACAACAACAGCUAUCAAACGAGCAUUCAGAUGGCUCCGUUUGAGGCGUUGUAUGGACGCAGAUGUUGAUCCCCCCUGUUUUGGAGCGAUGUGGGUGAGCGGAGGACACUUGGACCGGAGAUCUUACUUGAGGCUGAGGAAAAGGUGAGAGUCGUUCGACGACACCUUUUGACAGCUCAGAGCCGCCAGAGGAGCUACGCCGAUACCAGGAGACGAGACUUAGAGUUUCAGGUUGGAGAUCAUGUUUUCCUCAAAGUCUCGCCGUCCAGAGGUAUUCGCCGAUUUGGAGUGCGUGGAAAGCUCAGUCCACGUUUCGUUGGCCCUUUCGAGGUAUUGGAGCGAGUUGGACCAGUUGCAUACCGGAUUGCUCUACCACCCCGACUAGCUGGGGUUCAUGAUGUGUUCCACGUCUCGGCUCUGAGGAGAUAUGUUUUCGAUCCUUCUCACGUGAUUCACUUCACUCCACUAGAGAUUGGCGAGGAUUUGAGAUACGAGGAGCGACCGGUGCGGAUUCUUGCUCGCGAGACGAAGGAAUUGCGCAACCGGGUCAUCCCGUAUGUGAAAGUGCAGUGGAGCAAUCAUGAGGAGCGGGAGGCGACUUGGGAGCCUGAGACAGUGAUGAGGGAGUCCUACCCCGACUUGUUCGUUGUCCCGUCUUAAGGUAUGUUUUAAGUUUCGAGGACGAAACUUUUUAUAGUGGGGGAGGAUGUAGUAUCCUUAUUUCUUUAUCUUUUCUUUUCCUUUUUCUUUUUAUUUCUUUUGAGUUGGUAAGCUAGCUGGGGAUAAGGAUGCCACGUGCACCUUACCCCCAAGCAUGCUUAUCACCUUAAUACUUGUGCAUAGUUUAUAUAUAGUUCAUGAGCCUCUACGCAUAUAGUUCUUGAGUCGUACGUAGAGGAGGAGCUCGGGUGGUGUGGAGUUUCGUCGACGUUGCGCAGCGGUGCCGUUCGAGCGUGUGUUCGUCGUCGUAGCAUCGCGAGGGGGGCCGGGUGAGGGUCCGAUUUCGCUGUUUUUGUUGUCGCGCCGGAUUGUGAUUAGCGUUUGAGGUGGGUUACAUCGGCUUUACUCCUAAGUUCUUAUUGGCCGACAUGUAUAGAUCUUGAUUUCGGUAAUUAAUUUAGCUCAAAUUCAUGGACUAUAUGUAGAUUGCGAAAUCUGAAUUUUGGAGCAUAUUUUAUAAAUUAAGUAGAUCAUACAUGUUGUACUUGAAAAUUGAAUUAGGAGAAAACCUGCGAUUUGGACCUGUCACCAGUUUUAACUACCUGAUUUAGCUCUAGGAGCCGUUAGAAAAUUGUAUUGUCGCAGUUUCUUCGAGACGAGUACUCCAGGUAGUUUAGAAUGUAUUUACACUCGUGCUGGUUCGCCGAGUGGAUUUUUACAGGGUCAUUCAGGUUGUUUCGGACUUUUGGGUGCCGUCAGAGUUGACGGUGGACCCGUAUCGCCUUUUUGGGCGUCAGAUUGUGCCGAGGGCACGUUACCUAUUGGUUGUUAGACCAGUUUGAGUCGAUUACUUGACGUUGGCUAGUUGGAGCCUGUUUGAGCUCGACAGAGAUACGCUGCAUACUCGGUUGGGUCAGUGCUAUAGAGAGGUUAUUCGAGGAUCUGUACGUUCCAGAGGGGGAGCAGGUACCUUUGGGAGUACACUGUUUGUCAGGUGAUGCACGUGACUGGUGGCGGAGAGUAAGGUGAGACCAGAGACUGGAGGCAGCGCAGCUGAGGUGGGACGAGUUCUGUGGAAUGCUGUAUGGGAUGUAUUUUCCCAACAGCAUGAAGCAGAAGGUUGAGGAGGAUUUGAAGAGGAUCCAACAGGGCGAGCGGACAGUUCAGGAGUAUGUUCGGGAGUUUACUAGACUCCUGAACUGUGUUCCGUUCGUGGCCAGAGACGAGGCACAUAGGGUCUACUUGUUCGAGCAGGGUUUGAGACCCGAUCUGUUCAGGUUCGUUAGGGCGCAGAGGUCGAUGACUUUGGACACGUCCAUUGAGCAGGCACUAUGGGAGGAGAGAGGAGAGGUGUCACUGCGAGAGAGGGCUCAGGGGCCGGGACAGACUCAGGACAGGAAGCGUCCAGCUCCAGACGACGGAGGCCAGUCGAGUAGCAGGCGUCCACCGAGACCUCCACGAUCGCGUUCUCAGGGUCGUGGGUUCUCGGGACGUCAGCGAUCCAGAGACUCCCGUUAGAGAGGACAGCCUGAGAGGGCGCCGCAGUGUGUGAUCUGUGGAGGACCACACUGGCCCAGACAGUGUGAGCAGAGGGAGGGCCGGUGCUACGGAUGUGGUCAGCUGGGACACAUGAGGGCAGCUUGUCCCAGAGCAGCAUCUCCAGCACCAUCAUCUGCUUCAGCUCCACCAGCACCUCAGCAGACUUACAGAGCAGCACCGAGUUACCGCCAGGAGGAUAGGUCGUCCAUGCCGCGACAGGGUGAGCGUCGACAGCAGGCUCCGAGUGGUAGAGUCUAUGCAGCUCAGGUGGAGGACUCUACAGCAGCCGACCGAGUGGUGGCAGGUAUCACUUUGAUUUCUGGCAUUAGAGUUCGCACUCUUUUUGAUACUGGUGCAUCACAUUCCUUUGUUAGCCGAGCAUUUGCAUUGUUGCAUGGUCUAGAGUUAGGGGCAUUGUCACAGGCACGAGAGGUGCAGAUCCCGGACCAUAUUUUACAGGUUGCGGAGUGUUGUUGGUCGUGUCCGGUGCAGUUGGACUCGUGGGUCAUGCCCGCAGACCUGUUGGUGUUAGGGCAGCUGCAGGACUUCGACGUCG
rnacentral:lncRNA from 1 species